rnacentral:rRNA from 1 species
CAUGCAAGUCGAGCGCGAAAGUUCUUCGGAAUGAGUAGAGCGGCGGACGGGUGAGUAACGCGUGGGAAAUUGCCCAGUAGUGGGGGACAACAUUCGGAAACGGAUGCUAAUACCGCAUACGCCCUACGGGGGAAAGCAGGGGAUCUUCGGACCUUGUGCUAUUGGAUAUGCCCGCGUCGGAUUAGCUAGUUGGUGAGGUAAUGGCUCACCAAGGCAACGAUCCGUAGCUGGUCUGAGAGGAUGAUCAGCCACACUGGGACUGAGACACGGCCCAGACUCCUACGGGAGGCAGCAGUGGGGAAUAUUGGACAAUGGGCGCAAGCCUGAUCCAGCCAUGCCGCGUGUGUGAAGAAGGCUCUAGGGUUGUAAAGCACUUUCAGUAGGGAGGAAGGCCUUAAAGUUAAUACCUUUGAGGAUUGACGUUACCUACAGAAGAAGCACCGGCUAACUCCGUGCCAGCAGCCGCGGUAAUACGGAGGGUGCGAGCGUUAAUCGGAAUUACUGGGCGUAAAGCGCGCGUAGGCGGUUAGUUAAGCUGGAUGUGAAAGCCCCGGGCUCAACCUGGGAACUGCAUUCAGAACUGGCUGGCUAGAGUACGAGAGAGGGUAGUGGAAUUUCCUGUGUAGCGGUGAAAUGCGUAGAUAUAGGAAGGAACAUCAGUGGCGAAGGCGACUGCCUG